UCUUCAGUGAUGAUUGAUAACAGUGACUUUCGUUCUUCUGAGUCUACUGAAGCCAACCCCUCUGUCCUGAGAAGA
ensembl:snoRNA